rnacentral:lncRNA from 1 species
CUCCUUGCAUCCAGAUGUGUGAAACGGACGACCUAACAUGGAAGUAAGUCGCUAUCACUGAUAGGCUGCCCGAUCGAUGGCACCGGCCCCUGGGCUUGCUGUCUAACCAUGCCCCAUGGUUGCAUGAUGACUUAUCCAAGUUGGCCACAUCCCGCAUCCGACAUGUCGCCACUGUCUCUCCUUCGUUUUUUCUUUAUAAUAUGUAGAUGGUGAAUCAUCAUUUGUGCCGCCAUUAUUUUUUUACAGUUGUUUUGUUCGUACCUUUGAAACCGACGAAGUCCAGAAUGGAACAAAUACAACAAGGAAGAUAUUUUGCUAGAGACGAAACAUGUGCACUUCAGUUCUGUUGAGAGAGAUGUAAGACGGCUACACAUUUGUUUGGGGUAACUUUCUUUUGUUAACAUGAAUUUAGUUAAUUGUUAGUAGAUAUGUUCAUAGGCUUUGAGGCCACAACUAACAGACUGAAGUCCUUGCUGAAUUAUGGAUCUUAUGGGAAGUAGCGAGAGUGUGAGACUAUGAUUUCGCCGUGGAGGCGUCACCUAACAAAUCUGCAUCCCAGGUAUAGUUUCUGAUCCUGAUGUCUUAAAAUACAUUUCUAUAGUUCUUAAUACAGUAAUACUUAACGACAUUUGUAUGGAAUGAAUGUUGUUGUGACUAAAUUCCGUGUGCAAGACCUAUCAGUUAGCAUGCUAGAAUAAAAGCUCUGAAUGAUCUAACUUCUGCAACUACCAAAUGUUGUUUCUGCACAUAGGUCAUGGAUUUCCCCUAUUGAUAUUGUACAUGCAAUUGGCUUCAAAUAUUUCAGUAAAAUCUCAUGAUGACAUCAAUAUAUAGACUUGUGCGAUAUGUGUGCAUCAAUUAUUUUGACCCAAGACAUUAUUCCAGAAAGCACAAGAUAUUACUUUAUCCAGUCUAUCCAGUCUAUUCCAGAAAGCACAAGGGCUUGUUGAUCUUUCUUUUCUAGAGUGUUUUUGUUAUGAACUCUUUCGUGAAUUUGGAGUAUCUUUUUUAUUUCUAGAACUUCUUACUGACUCUUUUCCAUUGUAUAGUAGGUUGUGAAGAAUGGGAGAUGCUGAUUUGGAAGAAGAAACAAUCAUCAAACAUGUAUAUAUAUACUGCUACUAUAGUAUUUAUACCUUGCAAGAAAAGAAAGCUGAUAAUUUCGAUGUAAACUAUGACAUUGUGGUUUACAAAUAAAUAAAAUGUUUCAUGUGUAUAUUUUCUGCACUAUGCUAAAUUCAUAUCAGAGACUUUCUA